CCGCGUGCGGCGGGGAGGGGGAGCAACGACCGGCGGCGACUGAGUUACUGGUGAGCAGCAAGCGGUUUCAAUCAUCGAGCUACGACAAUGAAGCCCCGGCCUCUCGUCGUGGCGGCGGGGGAGGGUUUAGUCGGGGCGGGGGGCGCCGGGUGGGCGUGGAGGUCGAGGCCGCGCGCGAGGUUGCCGGGGGUGUCGCCCAAGUGUUCCCACUCGGCGGCGGCGGCAGAGGGCGUGGUGCAGUCGGAGCACCACCGCCGCCGCCGCGGCGGCGUUCGCGGGGUGUUGUUCCGCCCGGCGGGGCUUCCCCGGACGAAAAACGACUGGAAGCUGGAGGAACGGAUCGAGAAGGUCAUCUACGCCUGCCGCUUCAUGACCUUCCUCGGCAUCGGCGGCUUGCUCGCCGGCUCCAUCCCUUGCUUCCUCAAGGGAUGGGUUUAUGUGAUGGAUGCCUUCGUCGAAUACUACCUGCACGGCGGUGGAACUGUCGUCCGAAUGCUGCUUGAAGCCAUUGACUUGUUUCUCAUUGGAACGGUCAUGUUUGUCUUCGGGACGGGCUUGUACGAGCUGUUCAUCAGUAACAUGGACAUGUCUUACGGCUCCAACCUCUUUGGCUUGUUCAAUCUUCCGGAACGACCCAAGUGGCUGGUAAUCAACUCGGUGAAUGAUCUUAAGACAAAGCUGGGUCAUGUCAUUGUCAUGAGUCUACUAGUUGGCAUCUUCGAGAAGAGCAUGAGGGUGACCAUCACAUCAUGUGCUGACCUCUUUUGCUUCGCUGCAUCUAUUUUCAUCUCCUCAGCUUGCCUCUACCUACUUUCCAGGCUUAAUAUAUAGCAUCAAAGGAGGGAGCCAUGCCUGAAAAAAGUGUCUAUGUAUAUAAGCAAUAGGUCUGUUCUGUUACCGCACAACACCUCAGGUUAUGUUUGCACAGUCAAAAAAUUAGGGAGUGGGGAGGGUCCCUGUACUCUUGUAUGGGUCGGCAGUUGCAGUGAGGCACUACCACUCUACACAGUAGGAUAAUGAGAUAGUAUCAUCAUGUAUAUGUAACCUGAUGUAUAUCGUAUAUGCAAUUAAUAACUGAGAUUCUCUGGGACGACUGAUUAAUAGUGUUACCACAAUUUCAUGCAGUUUUGUUUUUUUAGUACGAGUGCUUUUGAAGAGAGUUACCAUAUAUUUCCAUUAGAUAUGAAAAUGCUCCUACCUCAUCCCUCUUUGGUAGGUUGUAAUUUUAGCACAUGCCCCAGUUGAACCUUGUCAAUAUGGCAGUGAUUAUGGUGGUACCUUGUCUGAUGGUAGGACAAGAGGUUUCUUGGGCAGCAACUAGCUUGGAAAUGAACACACAGAAUCUUGUUGUAUAUAAUAACCAUUUUCAUGUAUUAAGUGAUACAUUCAUGCCUUUAUUUACUCAAGACCACAUUAUGGAGCAUAGCUGUGUAGAUGUUCUUACAAUAAAUAAGGUUAAGAAGGAGCCUAGAUUUGUUUAAUAACAGUUUGAGAGAAACUACUACAGCUGAUGCUCCAGUUCUCCAACAUUCUGACCAAGUGUUCACUCAUAUCUACUAUAUAUAUGUGCCAAAUGCUUACUUUUGAGGUAUGUUUCUGAUCUUAAGUACUUAUAUACAACUUUUAUGACCAUUCAAUAAUUUCUAGUUGGAUGCAUCAUUAUGUGCUUGAAGAUUGUUGAUACUUUUUGUCCAAAACGAUUGCGUAUUCAGCACUUACCUUUCCCUCAAAAUGGAAAAUCACUGAGGAACAAGACUGUCGUGGGAGAAUGAUGAAAAAUUUGUGCUCUGUGACAUUUGGUCAAGUUUACGACACUUUUUUCUUGGGGUGAUUGAACUAAAGGACAGGAAUAAACGUAGCUUAGUUGUAUUGUGCCACAAAGGAUGAUGGAACCUCAAAUAAAUUAUGUUGAUAAGUUCCAGCCAACCAAUGGGAGGCAAUGUUGCAAAAGAAAACAAAGACUUCAAAGUGCCUUUUCCAAAUCAAAAUCAAAGUUCCAGGAAUCCUAGAAAAAUUGGAUCCCACAGAGAUGGAAUAAUAUUUGGUGGCGCAUGCCUUACAUAUAAAUUUUCAGCUUUGAACAUUAGCUGUUAUAGACUCUUUUCCAUAUGCAGUGAGGAGCAACAAAAUUAGAAGCUUCAACUUGCUGUUGCUUCCUCCACCAAAUGGUCUGAUAAGUUCUGAUAGGUCGUGGUGCCGUGAAGUUGAUUUGAACAUGAAAAAUAUUGCAAGUUGAUAUUUCAAGUUUGCAACUUGUAUCUUAAUGAGGCUUCCAUGCAAGUUGAUAUUUCAAGUUAACUGAUUAUCAUGGUAAACAGAUUGUCCAAAACUGCGUCUUCAGUCCUAGGUAAUUCUUGGUAACUUAUUUGGAAUUGCUAGUUUGGUUGAUUAACUGAUGUCAGAGAAAACUAUUAAAUGAUCAUGCUUGUGAGAAUAAUGAAUUUACAUGAAAGCAUACCUGUCAGGCUGUCACUGGGUUUACCCAUUCUAGAGGCAUAUUUCCAUGUUUUUAUUUUAUUUAAUUAAUCUUGUUGUACACAAUAUAUAUUCAGGCUGGUGAAUAGAUGUUUCUUAGAAUAAAACUGGAUUAGGCAAAGGUAUUCCCUUUGGCAUAGGACUUGUAAAAAAGAGAGGGAAAGAUACUGAGACAUCCAAAUGCUAAACAAUUGGCUGGCAAUUGAUGCGGUCCCCCCACUACUCAACUCCUUUAAAAGUACACCUUUUGUACUAAAUUAGUGAUACCAUCUGCAUAUAUAAAGAAGGGAGCUGGCUCAAGUGGUUAGCCGUGUUAGCUUUGAGUAACUUGUGUACCGAGUUCUCAUCUCUUCCCACUCCAAACUAGCUACCACGAGCUUUUUCCCUUGUAAACCUCAUGGCCAUUUCACUGAAAAGCAUUGCUCUGUUCAUGUUGCUUCUCAGUACUAUCUUCUUCGUGCAGCUCUCUGCGCCAACUCAUGCAAGGAAGCUGGAAGUGAGGGCACCUAUCAUCAACGUGCGGCCUUCAUGCACUGGAAGGAGUGUUCUGCAGGCGCCUUCUACUCAGACCGAUUCUACCACUCCAGGUCAUAGCCCCAGCAUUGGCCACAACAGUCCUCCGAAUUGAAAUGAUCUGCUCCUUGCUACAUGCCGUCAUCUGUAUCUCAAAUUUGUACCCCGAGUAUUUGAAGCUUAUGUGGUGUGUUUCUAGAGGAUUCUAUGUGUUUGUUGAAAUUUGAAUGGCUUAAGACAGGCGACGGAGGUUAAUUAGCAGAAUUUUUGUUUCUCUCCGUUUAGAUUUAUCACCAGUGAAAUUUGAUGCGU